AACGAACGCUGGCGGCAGGCUUAACACAUGCAAGUCGAGCGCCCCGCAAGGGGAGCGGCAGACGGGUGAGUAACGCGUGGGAACGUACCUUUUGGUUCGGAACAACUCCGGGAAACUGGAGCUAAUACCGGAUAAGCCCUAACGGGGAAAGAUUUAUCGCCGAAAGAUCGGCCCGCGUCUGAUUAGCUAGUUGGUGAGGUAACGGCUCACCAAGGCGACGAUCAGUAGCUGGUCUGAGAGGAGGAUCAGCCACACUGGGACUGGGACACGGCCCAGACUCCUACGGGAGGCAGCAGUGGGGAAUAUUGGACAAUGGGCGCAAGCCUGAUCCAGCCAUGCCGCGUGAGUGAUGAAGGCCUUAGGGUUGUAAAGCUCUUUUGUCCGGGAAGAUAAUGACUGUACCGGAAGAAUAAGCCCCGGCUAACUUCGUG
rnacentral:rRNA from 1 species